rnacentral:rRNA from 1 species
UACGUAGGGUGCGAGCGUUAAUCGGAAUUACUGGGCGUAAAGCGUGCGCAGGCGGUUUGUUAAGACAGAUGUGAAAUCCCCGGGCUUAACCUGGGAACUGCAUUUGUGACUGGCAAGCUAGAGUAUGGCAGAGGGGGGGUAGAAUUCCACGUGUAGCAGUGAAAUGCGUAGAGAUGUGGAGGAAUACCGAUGGCGAAGGCAGCCCCCUGGGCCAAUACUGACGCUCAUGCGCGAAAGCGUGGGGAGCAAACAGGG